rnacentral:rRNA from 1 species
GACGAACGCUGGCGGCGUGCUUAACACAUGCAAGUCGAACGGAAAGGCCCUUCGGGGUACUCGAGUGGCGAACGGGUGAGUAACACGUGGGUGAUCUGCCCUGCACUUUGGGAUAAGCCUGGGAAACUGGGUCUAAUACCGAAUAGGACCACGCGCUUCAUGGUGUGUGGUGGAAAGCUUUUGCGGUGUGGGAUGGGCCCGCGGCCUAUCAGCUUGUUGGUGGGGUAAUGGCCUACCAAGGCGACGACGGGUAGCCGGCCUGAGAGGGUGACCGGCCACACUGGGACUGAGAUACGGCCCAGACUCCUACGGGAGGCAGCAGUGGGGAAUAUUGCACAAUGGGAGCAAGCCUGAUGCAGCGACGCCGCGUGAGGGAUGACGGCCUUCGGGUUGUAAACCUCUUUCAAUAGGGACGAAGCGCAAGUGACGGUACCUAUAGAAGAAGCACCGGCCAGCUACGUG